AGUGAACGCUGGCGGCAGGCCUAACACAUGCCAGUCGAACGGCAGCACAGUAAGAGCUUGCUAUUACGGGUGGCGAGUGGCGGAUGGGUGAUGAAUACAUCGGACUCUACUUUUUCGUGGGGGAUGACGUAGGGAAACUUACGCUAAUACCGCAUACGACCUACGGGUGAAAGCAGGGGAUCUUCGGACCUUGCGCGUUUGAAUGAGCCGGUGCCGGAUUGUCGUGUUGGCGGGGUAUAGGCCCACCAUGGCGACGAUCCGUAGCUGGUCUGAGAGGGUGAUGAGCCCCUCUGGAGCUGAGACGCGGUCCAGAGUCCUACGGGAGGCAGCGGUGGGGAAUAUUGGAAAAUGGGCGGAAGCCUGAACCAGCCAUACCGCGUGGGUGAAGAAGGCCUUCGGGUUGUAAAGCCCUUUUGUGGGGGAAGAACAGUAGCAGGCUAAUACCCCGCUGUUCUGACGGUACCCAAAGAAUAAGCACCGGCUAACUUCGUG
rnacentral:rRNA from 1 species